CUCUAGGGCAGGGCUGGGGGACAAGUGUCCGGAUGGGGGUUCCGGGGAUACCCCCACGUCCUGUGGGUGGGCCCCGCUGCUGGGCA
ensembl:misc_RNA